rnacentral:rRNA from 1 species
GAUGAACGCUGGCGGCGUGCCUAAUACAUGCAAGUCGAGCGAACAGAUGAGGAGCUUGCUCCUCUGACGUUAGCGGCGGACGGGUGAGUAACACGUGGAUAACCUACCUAUAAGACUGGGAUAACUUCGGGAAACCGGAGCUAAUACCGGAUAAUAUAUUGAACCGCAUGGUUCAAUAGUGAAAGACGGUUUUGCUGUCACUUAUAGAUGGAUCCGCGCCGCAUUAGCUAGUUGGUAAGGUAACGGCUUACCAAGGCAACGAUGCGUAGCCGACCUGAGAGGGUGAUCGGCCACACUGGAACUGAGACACGGUCCAGACUCCUACGGGAGGCAGCAGUAGGGAAUCUUCCGCAAUGGGCGAAAGCCUGACGGAGCAACGCCGCGUGAUUGAUGAAGGUCUUCGGAUCGUAAAACUCUGUUAUUAGGGAAGAACAAAUGUGUAAGUAACUAUACACGUCUUGACGGUACCUAAUCAGAAAGCCACGGCUAACUACGUG